rnacentral:rRNA from 1 species
GACGAACGCUGGCGGCGUGCCUAAUACAUGCAAGUUGAGCGCUGAAGGUUGGUACUUGUACCAACUGGAUGAGCAGCGAACGGGUGAGUAACGCGUGGGGAGUCUGCCUUUGAGCGGGGGACAACAUUUGGAAACGAAUGCUAAUACCGCAUAAAAACUUUAAACACAAGUUUUAAGUUUGAAAGAUGCAAUUGCAUCACUCAAAGAUGAUCCCGCGUUGUAUUAGCUAGUUGGUGAGGUAAAGGCUCACCAAGGCGAUGAUACAUAGCCGACCUGAGAGGGUGAUCGGCCACAGUGGGACUGAGACACGGCCCAAACUCCUACGGGAGGCAGCAGUAGGGAAUCUUCGGCAAUGGACGAAAGUCUGACCGAGCAACGCCGCGUGAGUGAAGAAGGUUUUCGGAUCGUAAAACUCUGUUGGUAGAGAAGAACGUUGGUGAGAGUGGAAAGCUCAUCAAGUGACGGUAACUACCCAGAAAGGGACGGCUAACUACGUG